CAGUGCCCUUUAAUCACUGACCCCAUGUGAGUCCUGUCCACAUGAUCACACCCACGUGGGAUUGUGGAGAGACGGCACCAGUGGAGCUGGGGCAGAGAGGGACUCUGCUCUCUGGAGGAAAUUAUAGUACUCACCCAAUCUGCUUAUUUCAACAAGGAACCUAUGAAUUGUCCCAUCUAUUGGUCAGGAGAGGCAAGAGGCCAUUAGGAGGUUUUGAGGUUCUGUGAAUUACUUGGCAAAGCAGAGCCUUGUCCGCUCUAGUAGAAGACUUGUUUACAAAGCACAUCCAUCCUCCAAAGUCUGAGCUAACCAGUCAGGAGUUCAGAAGAACUCAAUUUCCUGGGCUGACGUUUUUGGACUGUAAUCACUCCAGGUGUUGGGACUGCUUAGAGGAAAUAAAAAGGAAGAACUCAGUGUUUUUUUUUUAAAGAGAAUUUGCUUGUUGAUGACCAGACACUAAGCAAGACAGCUGGCCUGCUGCAAAGAGAGUCUUGUAUGGGGAAAAAGGUAAAUAAUUAUUGACAAAGCAAAAUGAAAAGCUUCAGGGAUUAAUAUGUUUUAAAGGGAGAACAUCUCUUUGGACUCCUCAUAAAACCAGAUGACAUCACACUCAGCAUGGUAAUGCAUUUAUUGGUUACUCUAGCACCAGAGCAGAGAAAGGGGGGGUGUUUAAUAAAGAGUUGGCUGUUCUGUCACCUUCAUUAUGGAGGCAGGCUUUUUUUUCAACAUUAUUUUAAUGAUGUGAGAGGCUUGGCUUUAGGCAGCCUUUCUUGAUGGUUUAGAGCAAUGGGGAAGAAGGCCUUAAA
rnacentral:lncRNA from 1 species